rnacentral:rRNA from 1 species
UACGUAGGGUGCGAGCGUUAAUCGGAAUUACUGGGCGUAAAGCGUGCGCAGGCGGUUUUGUAAGCCGGAUGUGAAAUCCCCGGGCUUAACCUGGGAAUGGCAUUCGGGACUGCAAGGCUGGAGUGCGGCAGAGGAGACUGGAAUUCCUGGUGUAGCAGUGAAAUGCGUAGAUAUCAGGAGGAACACCGAUGCGAAGGCAGGUCUCUGGGCUGACACUGACGCUCAUGCACGAAAGCGUGGGGAGCAA